UUGAACGCUGGCGGCAGGCUUAACACAUGCAAGUCGAGCGGAUGAAAGUAGCUUGCUACCGGAUUCAGCGGCGGACGGGUGAGUAAUGCUUAGGAAUCUGCCCAUUAGUGGGGGACAACGUUCCGAAAGGAGCGCUAAUACCGCAUACGUCCUACGGGAGAAAGCAGGGGACCUUCGGGCCUUGCGCUAAUAGAUGAGCCUAAGUCGGAUUAGCUAGUUGGUAGGGUAAAGGCCUACCAAGGCGACGAUCUGUAGCGGGUCUGAGAGGAUGAUCCGCCACACUGGGACUGAGACACGGCCCAGACUCCUACGGGAGGCAGCAGUGGGGAAUAUUGGACAAUGGGGGGAACCCUGAUCCAGCCAUGCCGCGUGUGUGAAGAAGGCCUUUUGGUUGUAAAGCACUUUAAGCGAGGAGGAGGCUACCUAGAUUAAUACUUUAGGAUAGUGGACGUUACUCGCAGAAUAAGCACCGGCUAACUCUGUGCCAGCAGCCGCGGUAAUACAGAGGGUGCGAGCGUUAAUCGGAUUUACUGGGCGUAAAGCGUGCGUAGGCGGCCAAUUAAGUCAAAUGUGAAAUCCCCGAGCUUAACUUGGGAAUUGCAGUCGAUACUGGUUGGCUAGAGUAUGGGAGAGGAUGGUAGAAUUCCAGGUGUAGCGGUGAAAUGCGUAGAGAUCUGGAGGAAUACCGAUGGCGAAGGCAGCCAUCUGGCCUAAUACUGACGC
rnacentral:rRNA from 1 species